rnacentral:tRNA from 1 species
UCGGGGAUCGUCCAAUGGCAGGACAUCAGACUCUGACUCUGAUUAUCUAGGUUCGAAUCCUAGUCCCCGAA